CUUCCGGGGAAGGGAGUAGGAAGCGUUGCUUAGAUUCGAGGAAACUGGGUGUGCUCGGUGCAAACGCAGUCUUCAAAGUGUCAUUGGUUUCUCUGGAUACUUUGAGGGAAAAGAUAAUGGAAUGAAUUCGGGUUUAUUUAUUUUUAAACGUAACCUCAUUUGGCGUGAAAGCUAUAGGUAUCUCAGAACGUUACGUCUGUAUUAACAUAGUGAAAGUGAAGCUGUUCAGUCGUGUCCGACUCUUUGCGACCCCAUGGAAUGUAGCCUACCAGGUUCCUCCAUCCAUGGGAUUUUCCAGGCCCUGCUGAGUGGUAUGGAGGAUCUUAUUUUCCCAACCAGGGACUAAAUCUGCACCUCCUGCAGCAGAAGUGCAGAAUCUUAACCAAUGGACCACCAAAUAACACAUUUUUAAUGAAAGGAAUACUGAAACUGUCAACUGGUAAAACUCAUUCUUCCUAACUAAUGCAGAACUAGAGUUGAGGGAAAUAAGGUCUGGUGAGUUGCCUUAAACCACUCUUGAACUGCUAAUCUAUACCAGCAAUUUUGCAUUAAGGCAUAACAAGAUAUAAAAGGGAAGAGAAAGCUUUGGCUCAUAAGUAAGGAAUACAAGGCAUGAGGGAAAAAGGUACAAAAGAGAUUUUUCUAGAAAGUGCAUGUAAAAGGAAAAGAAAAGGCGGCCUGGGGCUCAGGCCUUUGUUAAAUCCAUGUUCUAAGAGGAGGUUAAAGUAUCUCUAGAAAGAAAAUGUAGGAUUGAUCAAGAAGUUUAAUGCUAGAGAAUGAACUGCUGGUAAGAGUAUGAGAAAAGCACUUUCAUACAUUACUGAAGAAUGUAAAUGGCACUGUAAUAAUGAUGGCUCCUCUUGUAAGACCCAGGAAAGAAAAUUAGUUCUAAUGUCUCAGUACUAGAAACAGUUGUGCUUCACCUGAGAAACUGAUUUAUCUUAAGGAUAUCUGAAAAUCACAUUGUUAAUCUCUCUCUCUCUCUCUCUUUGGCUGCUUUAAAGUUCAGAGAUAAGUUUGUACCUUAACAUUAACAUAAAUGUAUGGCACACAUUUUAUGUAUUAAUUUCACUCCUGCCUACAUGUUAUUUCUUAUUUUGGGUGUUAUAUGUAAUUUUAUAUAUUACCUUAGUUUUAUAAAUUUCCUUAAUAGGGUAUCAUAUAAAUUAAAAAGUUCAGACAUACAUGAAUAAAAUUGCAUGCUUUGAAAAAAUGCAACGAAGGACCAUUUUAAGCUAUGAAACUUAGGUAUGAUAUAAAUUAACUCAGGAAAAUCCAGUCAAAAGCCAAAUAAAGCUGUAUUUUAUACUGUACAAAAGAAAAUUUACAUCCUUAAUGUAACUAGAUACAUCUAGGGAGAAAUUACACAUCUCUCAAGAAACACAAUAUUUAACAUCUUAGAUAUGUUUCUGCAUUGCAGACUGAUAAUGAAUUUUAUACAUCUUUAUUUAUAACUUAAAAUAUUUUUUCAUCUCUGGCAGAUAUUUACAAGGUCAACAGUGACUAUAUUUCACAUUUCAACAAUC